rnacentral:rRNA from 1 species
AUUGAACGCUGGCGGUAUGCUUUACACAUGCAAGUCGAACGGUAACAGGCCUUCGGGUGCUGACGAGUGGCGAACGGGUGAGUAAUACAUCGGAACGUACCCAGAGGUGGGGGAUAACGCAGCGAAAGCUGUGCUAAUACCGCAUGUGAUCUGAGGAUGAAAGCGGGGGACCGAGCAGCAAUGUUUGGCCUCGCGCCUUUGGAGCGGCCGAUGUCGGAUUAGCUAGUUGGUGGGGUAAAGGCCUACCAAGGCGACGAUCCGUAGCUGGUCUGAGAGGACGACCAGCCACACUGGGACUGAGACACGGCCCAGACUCCUACGGGAGGCAGCAGUGGGGAAUUUUGGACAAUGGGCGCAAACCUGAUCCAGCAAUGCCGCGUGCGGGAAGAAGGCCUUCGGGUUGUAAACCGCUUUUGGCAGGAACGAAACGGUGUCCGCUAAUACCGGGCGCUAAUGACGGUACCUGCAGAAUAAGCACCGGCUAACUACGUG